rnacentral:rRNA from 1 species
GACGAACGCUGGCGGCGUGCCUAACACAUGCAAGUCUGACGGGAAAGUCUCCUUCGGGAGACCGGUACAGUGGCGGACGGGUGAGUAACGCGUGGGAAUCUACCCGGUAGUGGGGAAUAACCCCCCGAAAGGGGAGCUAAUACCGCAUAAGCCCCAAGGGUAAAGAUGGCCUCUUUCUAAUGCUAUCGCUUCCGGAUGAGCCCGCGUCCUAUUAGCUAGUUGGUGAGGUAAUGGCUUACCAAGGCUACGAUGGUAGCCGGUCUGAGAGGAUGAACGGCCACACUGGGACUGAGACACGGCCCAGACUCCUACGGGAGGCAGCAGUGGGGAAUUUUGCGCAAUGGGGGAAACCCUGACGCAGCAACGCCGCGUGGAUGACGAAGGCCUUCGGGUCGUAAAGUCCUGUUCUGGGAAAGAAGUAAGUAAAGGGCCAAUACCCUUUACCCUGACGUACCCAGCAGAAAGCUCGGCCAAUUAUGUG